GGUUUUUCCUCAUUGCACUGAAGGUUAUUGAGGAAACGAUACCAUAUCAUGCUCGUGAUUAUUUCUCCCCUUUUUCAGACUGCAGGGUGGGAGAUGCAACAAUGGCCUUGAGAACAGCAGGAAGUGUGUUGGUGGUCUUUCUCUGGUCUGUAGCAGGAACUACGGCAACAAAGUGUGGACAAACCCUACCUUCAGUCUCUGCAGGUGAAGGUGACUUAUUCAACUUGGCCAAAUUGGGUGACAAUUACCUGUAUCACCACCUGUACUCUGACUGGUAACCCCACCUACAUCUGGUACAAGAACGGA